GAGAUAAACUUGCAUUGAUCAAUUAUCAAUGGAGGUGUAAAAAGGGCAAAAGAUUGACAAUAAUUGUCAAUCUUUUGCCCUUUUGCCCGCUAAUCCGUUCACAGAAAUAGAUCAAUAUGAUGGAUUCUGCCUGCUGUGGUGGGCAGAUAGGAAAUUUCUGCCCACUUCCAGAACCAAUCAGAUUGCAGGAUUUGUUGAAUUCCGCCCGCUUACGAGCUGAGAAAAAAAUAAUCUGUAGCAUACCAUGGAUAGCAUUUCAUAACUAUUAAUUUUUAUAUCAUGCCAUGGAGAUACAACAUUUGGCCAACACAGUCAAUGUGAUAUACAGCACAUGAUAGGAAGGUUGGCUGUAGUACAAUCUAGUAUACAAAGGCUUUCCUGUAUUCUGAUUGGCUUUAUUUUCUUUGGCAUGGUAUAAAUACUUUCAUCAGUUUUCUAGAGACAAUUCAGUUGGACAAUUGCAAGGGAAGCAAUGCCUUUUCCAUGGUAGAUGCUAGGGGGAAAGUGUAUAAUUAUAACUCAGUUGAAAUGUUACAAGAAAUAAAGAAUCAAAAUAAAGAACCUGUUAAGCUAGGUAGAAAUGAUUCAUGAAUUUAAUUCAUGAGUUAUGUCUACCAAAGUUGACAGAUUGAACUAAAUAAAGUAGAUAUUGAUGUAUUCAGAACCAUAACAAGUUUAUAAACUGUUAAAUUAUAUACCUGCCAACUAUUUUAUGAUCACAGUUUUGAAAAAAAAGUUGUUUCAGCUUCUAUCUGGCUGUGUAGUCUAGUAAAAUAUCUUAGCUUCUCCUAGAUUGGCCCAUAUAUUUGUUAGCCCCAUUCAUGGCUAACAAGCUCGCCACAUUGUGUCUAUUUAGUUCAUAGUACAGCAGUACCUACUGGAUGAACUUUGAGGCACUGUGAGUCUUUCUAUAUAAAUCUCAAUACGCUGUCACAAGGAAUUAUCCUGGCAGCUUGCACAAGAGUACACAGUUUUUAACAAUUUAGCUUUAAAAUUCUUCACCCUCCCUCCCUUGGAGAAGGGCUUUUAUUUGCUAUUUGCCAAUAAACUGGGGUCACUCCUGGUGGUUUGAUUAAGUCUGCGUAGUGACUUGCCCCAAGCUUUGGCAUUGCUUGUGUCUUGCCAUCUUAUAUCCUGACCUUUAUCUUGUCUGAUCCAGCCUGUGCUGUGCUGGGGAGAUAAGAAAGGCUCUGCCAAUACUCUUGUUCUAUUCCCAUAUUAGUGGGGAAUAGGUGAGGCUUUUAUUUUGUGCACCCAUCAUGAAGUUGCGUCAAACCUGCCACAGGGUUGUGUCUCCCUCAAUUACAUCUGCUAUUUAUUUACUUUGUGUUUACUCUUUCUUCUCUUAAAUUAAGUUUUCUUUUUAUCCUAAAAAUGGUAUUUAAUUAAAGGGCAUAGAAUUAGUCUACAAUAUCUUUCCCUUUCCACUUUCCUUUCAUUGCAUUUUGUCUAUCACUAUUGUAUUUGAAUCUUGUAUUGGAGAAAUAAAAAAUACAAUUACAAGUUGCAAAUUUCUGUACAGAAGUUGAUUCCAUUGCAGUAGUUUGGUAUUGUGAACAUCAGCUUUGGACAGGUGGGUAAAUUUAGUUACCGUGGUUCUUCUUUUGCAGAGCAAGUGACAGCCCUUCUUUAACAUCUCAUAGUCUUUCUCUUCUGGAAGGAAUAUUUCUGAUUGGCAAAUUUAUGAUGGGAAACAAUAUGCAAUAUAUCGCUGAUUACAGAUGUGCCAUAUUGAAAACAUCAGUUAUGGUCAGAGAUGCAGUUUUGCCUGGAGGAUGGAGGAGAGCUCAUGGAGGAAUGAGGAAGGAAUGGACUCAUUCACUAAACUUUUGGUGUUUGAACCCUGCUGUGGUA